CUCUCUCCUCCCAGCCAGGGCUUAGCGACAACACAGCUACAGGGGCAUGAGAGGCUCAGAGGCCUGGUCCUCUGGCUGGUGGAGCCUUGGAGGCAGUAGUGAAGAUCCCUGGAAGAGGGAGGCCAUGAAGAGGGAUGCAGAUACCUGGCAAGCCCACCUCCCUUCUAUGCCACCUGCCAGCCUUCUCUGACAUUCCCAAACCAGGGACCAACACCGCCAAUCAGGGAAGAUUUACACGCAUUUAAUUAUCCUGCACUGCUCAGAUGUCAGUCUCUAAAUUCCUAACACAAAUGAACAGAAGACAAAAUCAUUUGCAGGAUUCUGAAAUGAAGUUUUUCAGCGGAACACAGAGAAACAGUUAAAUUUUGCAAAGCUGUGAAACUGGAGAGGGGGCUGUCCUCCAAAUCUACCAACCAGAGACCUGGAAGGAAUUACUUGCAUGAGAUUCAUUUCUCUCUGUCUUUCUCUUUCUCCCCUCUCCCCACCUAUCUGCACCAAACUCACCUGCCAAUUUCAUCAGCGAUACUUGAAUGGAUUUUCUAACCUGUUCCACUCCAAAUUGAUCAGUUAAUUAAGUUGAUCUCUACAAGACUGUUAAAGAACCAGGUCUUUUUCCUUUCAUGUUAUGCAGUUCCAAGUAAACUCCCUUUACUCUGGUAUCCUUAUCAGAGGCAGACAUCACAGGAAGUGGAGCAUUCCUUAUGAAUAUCUUAAUCUACACACAAAUAGAUUUUUUUCAAUGUGAAUUUGGAUUUCUAAAAGCACGCUUACUGCAAGUACAUUUUGCAGCCUCUUGUUUCCAGAUCAGAAUUGAGUGAUUUUCUAUUAUUUAUUUAUUUAUUAUUUGUCACUUUAAAAUAUGCAAUUCUUGGGAUCAUGCAGAAUUGCUGUAUAUUUGCUUUGAAGAUUAGAAUAAAACUGGUAGAUAAUG
rnacentral:lncRNA from 1 species